UGAAACACGGACCAAGGAGUCUAGCAUGUGCGCGAGCCAUUGGGAUCUAGCGAAACCCACAGGCGCAAUGAAAGUGAAGGCCGCGCCUCGCGCCGGCUUCGGGACGAUGGUGAGCGGCGUCGCCGUUCUCCCGCACUCCCGGGGCGUCUUGUCCGCAAUCUGUCGGACUGGGCGCACCGAUAGCGUAAAUGCUGGUACCCGAAAGAUGGUGAACUAUGCCUGGUCAGGUCGAAGUCAGGGGAAACUCUGAUGGAGGACCGUAGCGAUUCUGACGUGCAAAUCGAUCGUCUGAACUGGGUAUAGGGGCGAAAGACUAAUCGAACCAUC
rnacentral:rRNA from 1 species